rnacentral:tRNA from 1 species
AGAGUCUUCGCUCAAAUGGUAGGGCGGGUUGAUAUAGAGAUCACCAGAUAGGGGUUCGAAUCCCCUAGACUCUCCA